rnacentral:rRNA from 1 species
AUACGUAGGGGGCGAGCGUUGUCCGGAAUGAUUGGGCGUAAAGGGCGCGUAGGCGGCCCGGUAAGUCUGGAGUGAAAGUCCUGUUUUUAAGAUGGGUAUUGCUUUGGAUACUGUCGGGCUUGAGUGCAGGAGAGGUAAGUGGAAUUCCCAGUGUAGCGGUGAAAUGCGUAGAGAUUGGGAGGAACACCAGUGGCGAAGGCGACUUACUGGACUGUAACUGACGCUGAGGCGCGAAAGUGUGGGGAGCAAACAGGAUUAGAUACCCUGGUAGUCCACACUGUAAACGAUGAAUGCUAGGUGUAGGGGGUAUCGACCCCUUCUGUGCCGCAGUCAACACAAUAAGCAUUCCGCCUGGGGAGUACGGCCGCAAGGUUGAAACUCAAAUGAAUUGACGGGG